AUUUACAUCACCAAUUAAAGCUUAAUUUAAAAGCGUCGUUCUCACUUCUAUCUUCUUCCCCAAAUAUUCUGCAUUUCUCACAAGACUGCAAGUUCUUCCUCCCAAACUACGUUUGUCGCCAAAAUUGGACCUGUGCAACGCCAUAUUUGAGUCAUUAACGUCUCGGCCACCGCCACCGCCACCACCGCCGCCAACAAACAGUUCACUCGGUGACAGAAUCACAAGCCACCUUUGCUAGCUUCGGCCAUACUCCGGAGAGUUUGACUAUCGAAUAAUGCUUCUAAGGAAUAUUCCAAAGCGUUGCAUUUACACCGCCGCUGUAUUGCCUGAACCGCGACCUUGGCUUUUCGUGGGUUUGGGCAAUCCAGGCGACAAAUUUAUGGGCACCAGACAUAAUGUGGGGUUUGAAUUCAUUGAUGCAUUUGCGAAAUCACAUGGGAUUGCGAUGGACUCUGUGCACUGCAAAGCCAUAUUUGGAAAAGGUAUUAUAAAUAUGGUUCCAGUUUUCUUGGCAAAACCUCAGACUUACAUGAACUUAAGUGGUGAAUCUAGUGGUCCUCUUGCAGCCUACUAUAAGCUUCCCCUUAACCGAGUUCUAGUGCUUCAUGAUGACAUGACUUUGCCCUGUGGAGUUCUUCGUCUGAACCCCCUUGGAAAUCAUGGAAGUCAUAACGGAAUGAAGAGUGUUAUCAAUCAUUUUCGUGGGAAUAGAGAAUUUCCUCGUUUAAGAAUCGGUAUUGGGAGACCUGCCGGUCAAAUGGAUCCAAAAGCAUUCUUACUCCAAAAAUUUAAUGUCAGAGCUCGAGAGAGGAAUGGCAGAUUGAUGCUGCAUUACAAGAAGGUGUCGAUGCUCUAACGCAGGUGUUGUCCAAAGGCCUCGCAGAGAGUGCACGAUGCUUCAACAAGGAGCAGAAAUACAAACACUUGAGACUACAAACCAGGCCAGUAUGACAGAAGUACUCGAGCCAAAUUUCAUGAAUGUUGGACAUUGAGUUGUUGGCAACAUGAACACCAUCGUUUCCAGACUUGCUGCAAACCCGAGGCCAGUGGAGUUAGUUCCUGUAGCAUAUUCACAACCCAAAGUAGCUGAUGAUCCCUCUCGAAGGAAAACAGCGCGUCGUGUAGCUUCACACUGAGCUGAGAUGACUAAUUAAAAAUUCAAAAUCGUGAGUAUUGUUAUUAAAAGGAAUAUUUUAUUUGAACAUAUAAAUGAACUCUUUUUAAAAAGGUGACUAA